rnacentral:tRNA from 1 species
UCCUCGGUGGCUCAGAUGGAUAGAGCGUCUGCCAUGUAAGCAGGAGAUCCUGGGUUCGAGUCCCUGCCGGGGCA